UUCAUUAGUCGGUGCCAGCUGUUCUCAAAUUUUCACUUGCCAAUUGAAACUCCCACUUCCUAUUUGAAACUCCCAAACUCCCUCGAAACAUUUUCUUCCAAAUUCUCUUCCGGACAGAAGAGAAAAAGCUCUCUCUCCUCUUAACCAUGGAAUUUGAUUUAGGGUUUUGUAUUACACACAAAUAAGAAUAGCCAAGACAAGCAUCUUCUUCAAGACAUCUUAUUCUUCUUUUUAGUUGGGUGAAAGAUUGGGUUUUUUAGGGUUUUGAUUUGAUUUUUUUCAGGGGCUCUGGAGAAGACAGACAGUUGGGAAUCGGCAACAACGAAGAGAAAGAAUAGGUUUGCACAAUGAAAUCUCUUGAGUCCCAAAAUGUCCGUUGUGUAGUUGCCGGAAGUCGCAAUUCACUCACCGUUUGUAAAGAUUGCAAGGCAACUAUUGGUGGGUGACAUUGUUUGGCUGUUGAUGAUCAAGGACGACUUUACGCUUGGGGUUUAAAAGAUGAAGAUAAGGAUUUGGAAGAGGAAGAUGAUGAGCAUGCAACUAAAGAUUUUAACUACACAAAAAUUGCAAUUAAAUAUGCCGGUUAGGAUUUUAACUGCACAAAGAUAAAAUAUCUCUCCUACAUCUAGUCUAAUACCCUUUGGUAUUAGGAUUCAACUUCAAUGACAUAAUAAUAAAUUUUUAUUUUUCACAAUUUUAUUAGCAGCCAAACAGACCCUUAUAUACUUCUUGAUAAUCUGAAAUGCAAUUACAUGUUUCUUUAUUUUCUCUAGAUGCUUUAUAUUAAUUUUUAUGUAUAAUGAAAAUUUUGACCUUCUUUGUCAUGGUUGUUUUUCUUUGUUCCCUUUAAUUUGAGAUUUUGCUUUUGCAAUCUAAUCAAUUUCAGAGUUUUGGGAUUGACAUUAUUGAAAUUUCUUCUUUUUAAAAAAAAAAAAUAUAUAUAUAUAUAUACUCAAGUUUAGAAUUAUUAUUGGAAUGAAUUUCGUGGUAGUCUUUUAUAUUGUAUGUGUGGGUUUUAUCUAAUCUAGAUGCAAUAAAGAGCAAGGAUAUAUAUAUAUAUUUAAUUUAUUUUCUUAGUGUUUCUGUUUUCUCAACUCAUUACUUAUACCUAAUAUGCUUGCACGUAUUGGGAGCUUGGAAAAUUAGUAAACCUAAAAUAUAUCUCUCUAACUAUAUCUAUUUUAUCUAUACUGAGAAUGAGUAAAAACAAUUGGAAACCAUUUUUCGUGAGACUUGUAAACUUGGAAGUUGAUGCUUUUACUCAUGAUACAAGGUUAAUUUGUUCACUUCAAGAUUCUCUCGGAGCAGGAACAACUUGAGGAAAUUAGUAAUUUUUUGCAUGAGAAAUCUUUCAAGCAGAGUGGUUAAAUUGCACCCCCCUAUUAGCCUUUUAUUGCUAAAGUUUGUUUAUUUUGUGUUGAUCUUCUUUUGACGUUUUUCACAAAUCCAUAUGAAUCUGAUUACUCUUACUUCAUCCUAUAAGUGCACUUAAUUUGAUUUAACAACGUGUUUGUGUUUGUAGGGGACUAAAGAUAAUCAAAUAAGGUAUUGACUAUUAUCUUAUAUACCAAGGUUAAUUUUAUCGUCAUUUGGGUUGAAGAACAUAGUGAAACUGAACAAUUGGUUGUUCAUUGAGUUUAGAAAGAGACAUUUCUAGAGAAACAACUUUGGAGGAUGAACCUUCUUUAUGAAUUCUAGACAAAAUACCGAGUGAAAGUUUCUUGGUCCAGAGUCGUUGGCACUGUGAAUUAUUUUUUGAGCUAUUUUAUUUCGUUUCUUUGAAACAACCAGUAACAAUCAGUAAUGUAGCCUUCUCAAUUACAGUUAUUGUAUUAAUAUUAGAUGAUGAAUGUUAAAUCUACUAUUAUUCAAUCAACAACUUGAAGUGUAAUUCUAUUAUUCUUCCCCAGUUCACAGUGACCUUUUAAGUUAUCAUAGUGCCGUGUUAUGAGUUUUUUAUUGUCAAGUUUUAUG